ACCUUAGAGACCAAUUAAGUUUGUUCUUGGUAUAAGCUUUCGUGUGCUUGCGGUAUCUGAAGAAGUGUGCAUGCACACAAAAGCUUAUACCAAGAACAAACUUAGUUGGUCUCUAAGGU